rnacentral:rRNA from 1 species
UACGUAGGGUGCAAGCGUUAAUCGGAAUUACUGGGCGUAAAGCGUGCGCAGGCGGCUUUGCAAGUCAGAUGUGAAAGCCCCGGGCUUAACCUGGGAACUGCAUUUGAUACUCUGGAGCUUGAGUACGGGAGAGGAUAGUGGAAUUCCCAGUGUAGAGGUGAAAUUCGUAGAUAUUGGGAAGAACACCGGUGGCGAAAGCGGCUCUCUGGAACGGUACUGACGCUGAGACGCGAAAGCGUGGGGAGCGAACAGG